ACUUGGAGUGUACUUCAAGAUGCAGUGAAUCACAACCGGAAAAGGUUUGGUUGUGUAUUUAGCUGGUUGCAGAAAAUAAUUGGUGACACCAUCUUACAUGUAACUUGGAGCUGGUCUUUAGGAUGCAGUACACCAAGGUUAUUACGGAGUAAUGACUAUACCUUUCUACUUGGAGUGAACUUCAAGAUGCAUUGAAUCAAUAACCCAAUGAGGGUAAAGUGUAAAUGUUGCGGAUAAAGUGGUUGCAGUGAUUAUCUU